rnacentral:rRNA from 1 species
UACAGAGGGUGCGAGCGUUAAUCGGAAUUACUGGGCGUAAAGCGCGCGUAGGCGGCUUUGCAAGUCGGGUGUGAAAUCCCCAGGCUUAACCUGGGAACUGCAUUCGAGACUGCAUUGCUAGAGUAUGGGAGAGGGAAGUGGAAUUUCCGGUGUAGCGGUGAAAUGCGUAGAUAUCUGCAGGAACACCCGUGGCGAAAGCG